UAGGCCUACACAGUAAAAUUGACAGUGUUAUUAAGUGUUAAUUUUUCAGAGACAUAUUUUUCAGUGUUCAUUAGUGUUAAUUAGUGUAACUUCGGGAGUUGUUUGAACAAACAUGUACACCCACGGUGUAAUUAAAACUCACAACCUAGUGUUUUAAGUGGGUGUGAAUGUACGAACUCUGGGGUGGAGUCAUUUACACUUCCGGUCCUUCAGUUGAGAUUUUUGAAAAGAAGAUGGACGCCAUUGAAGUACAUCGUGGGAUAGUAAAAGGGUCAGCAAAAUGCUCAUCAAUGUCCAGUACCAUGGAGAAAAAAGUACCUCAAACUGCAGCCUGGUUUUUCCUUUCAAAGUUUAAUUCGAGAAGGCACAUCAAUCCACUGGUGCAAAAGAAGAGAACACCUCUGCCAUAGGAGAUUCAGCAGAAAAAGGCCAAACAGAUGGUCCAGGAGGUUCUGGAGAAGAGUUAAAUGGGAGAGGAAAUAAUGGAGGAGUAUAGUAGAGCACCUUGACACACUGUACAAGAAGGCAUCUUCUGAAUAUCCUGGUCCAUGGGAUACCAGUACGAAGUCAAGGAAAAAGAUAUGCACUCGGCAUUGUGACUGUUUCCUAAUCUCAGGGAUCCUUACUCCACCAAUGGCUAUGAACACUUCUACGAUGCUGGAAGAGGGACGGGCUAUCUGGCAUGGCCAAUACAUGAACACCAUGAGCUUUUUAAGGAGGUAGACUUUCUAAUGAGGAGACACAGCACUCAAAAAAUCCUCCAUAGAAAUGCAUGGGGUUAGUUUGUAACGUAUGGUGUUGUCUACAUAUAUCACACCCCCCUCCGUGGCAAAACGUGGACAUGUAAAUACAUUGAGCCAAUCAUGUGGUGUGUUGUGAAGACAUUGAUUGUGCCAAUCAUGUGUUGUGAUCUUGCCGCUGGAGCAAGAUUGGUGUUGUGAAGCCUGCCGAAAGUGCCCAAAAUGCGUUGCAAUAUGGCUGCUGAGUGGAGGGACUUGCCUAAAAGGACUUUGGGUAUACCCACAUGUAACAUCACUUCAUGGUGCAUUAUCUGUCUUGCUUAUGGAAAAUUGGCCCAUUAUUGCACAUCUCUAGUAAUAGGUUUGAAGCAAAACACAAGUUUGUGAAAUUGUAAAAAACUCUUGAUUAUAUUGUUUUAUUUCUUGUUUAUGAAAUGUUUACUCAGUGUUGCAGAGCAUUUUCAUGCAUAUGUGGUUAUGGAUUGUGAGGAACAUUGUUUUAUUGUUAAAGUCAAUGAUUUGUAUGAGUAUAAGGCCUUUGCUCAACAAAAUGCUUAUGGACCAAACUUUGACAUAUAUAUUGUACCUCUGCACAUUGAUUUGAGCCAUAUCAUGGCAAAUGUUAAUAAAAAAAGAAAAG